UAGCCGUGUGACAUCACCGCCAGCCGGAGUGACUGCGGUUACACACACUAACACACAAAACAUCUAAAACGGGAAAGAGUUGUGAGAUUGACUGUAUAAACAUUUGACAAGAAAUCUGAGGUAAAAUAUUUCUACAGACUUCUGAAAGCUACAGAAAAGAGACGCAAAUGUAGGAUACCGCUGCAAUUCACAGAAACAAGUGGACUCCAGGCAGCGAAAGGUGGAUUUGCAUAGCCUGAGAUGGAAUAUCACACAUUAAAGAAAUUUCAAGGUCUGGGAUAUCUAGCUCUGAGCAGGCGCUGAAGAUUUGCAGCGAUGUCAAAUGAUGUCAAGCCACUGGCUUAUUUCACCAAGGUGUUUCACCAAGUGCUGCUGGGAUUUUUUUCUGCCUGCUGUCAUCAGACUGUACACCGCCUCCUCAUCUUCCGGUCCUCACAGGAGUCUGGGCGGCCUCCCCUGGCACGAUUAAUGAUGCUGUCUCUCCUCCAGUGCUGUUGGAUGGGUGGAAGUGUGAAACGACCGACUGACGUCCAAAUGAACGAACAAUCUCAAUGACGGUGACAGAACUUGCACAUACACUACUGUUCAAAAGUUUAGGGUCUUUUUAAUGCAUUCAAUUGAGCAAACAUGGCAGUAAAGACGUGAAAAUAUUAGCCUACGAAAGAUUUAUGUUUCAAAUAAAUGCUCUUGGU